rnacentral:lncRNA from 1 species
UUAUUGAGAAGCUUGUGGAAUGUAGGCGUAAGUGUAUUGGAUAAUUAAAGUUUUGAUAUUCUGAUAUUGUUGGAACUACUUGAAGAAUUUAACAUUUGGUAAUUAUGAGACAACUUCUACAAGAACCGGCUGAUACCCUGAAAAAAAACCUGUCAGAGCCUUCCCUAGAGGCUACACCACAUUGUCACAUUAAUUUAGAAGAGACACAAGAUUCAAAGAAGGAAUUAGUUUGAUGAUCUCACAGCAGAAUUGGAAGCUGUAUCUUUACAAUGUGUCUAUUUGGCUGAAAACAAUCAAGUUACUCAACAGGAGUUAUCUAUGAAAAAAGUACAACAGGAAUGUGAAAAACUUGAGGAAAAUAAAAAGAUGUUGGAAGAAGGAAUAGUAAAUCUUAUGACACAUAUGGAAAAAUAUGGUAGAACUUGGUAAAGUACAAGAAUAUAAAUUGGAGCUAGAAGAAAAAGCAAUGCCAGCAAUAGAAAAAAAAUAGAAGAAAUCCAUUAACACGUUAGUUUUUAAAGUCAGCUUUUGCUGUGUUGGACAUUUUCUCCCAUCUGGUUUCUUCUUUAGAAUCCACUGAUGAGCAACAACUAAUGAAGAGAAUAUCUAAACCAUAAAAUCUUAAGGAAAAAGUUUAUGAUUUAAAAGACCUAAAACAUCUUAAAACUUUAUUACUGAUCUGUGUACAUGACAUUUUAAUUGUUUCUCAUAAAAUAUGUAACAUCAUGAUCUUCACUAAAGUAGAAUAUGUUUGUAUCAUAUGUGUGAUGAAAAUGUAUAUGGUAUUUUAAAUGAUUUUUUAGCCUCUUUAAGUUUUAAGUUGAUCUUGUAAAUGAAAACCAGUAUUGUUGAGUUUGACAUACUC